rnacentral:rRNA from 1 species
UCAGGUGGCCGCAGAGAAUAGGCCCAAGCGACUGUUUACCAAAAACAUAGGUUUCUGCUAAGUCGCAAGACGAUGUAUAGGAGCUGACGCCUGCCCGGUGCUGGAAGGUUAAGGGGAUCUGUUAGAGUAAUCGAAGCAGUGAACUUAAGCCCCAGUAAACGGCGGCCGUAACUAUAACGGUCCUAAGGUAGCGAAAUUCCUUGUCGGGU